GUGGGGAAUAUUGCACAAUGGGCGAAAGCCUGAUGCAGCGACGCCGCGUGAGCGAAGAAGUAUUUCGGUAUGUAAAGCUCUAUCAGCAGGGAAGAAAAUGACGGUACCUGACUAAGAAGCACCGGCUAAAUACGUGCCAGCAGCCGCGGUAAUACGUAUGGUGCAAGCGUUAUCCGGAUUUACUGGGUGUAAAGGGAGCGUAGACGGCUGUGCAAGUCUGAUGUGAAAACCCGGGGCUCAACCCCGGGACUGCAUUGGAAACUGUGCAGCUAGAGUGCCGGAGAGGUAAGCGGAAUUCCUAGUGUAGCGGUGAAAUGCGUAGAUAUUAGGAGGAACACCAGUGGCGAAGGCGGCUUACUGGACGGUAACUGACGUUGAGGCUCGAAAGCGUGGGGAGCAAACAGGAUUAGAUACCCUAGUAGUCC
rnacentral:rRNA from 1 species